GGGGGCGUCAGGGCUCGACGGAGGUUAUGAGGCUCAAGUUGCAUGCCGUGGCUCCAUCACCACGUAAAAAGGUGGAAACAAACACAAACGCCAACAACGAACUGGCACUCGCUGCUUAACCAAUAGCAGCACGCUCCUCCGAGGUUGUCUGUGCCGCGGAGACGGGCGUCAUACAGCAGGCUGCCGCCGGAUGAGGCCCUUAAUUCCGGCGGGAGAUUCAGGGGAUAGGAUGCCCGGAGGCCCGCCUGCCGGCAAUCCGGUAUCCGAGAUCAAAUAGGCAGGAUACGCAUGUAGACGCUUGAGUGUAGUGCUUUCGGACGCGGGUUCGAUUCCCGCCGCCUCCACCA
rnacentral:tmRNA from 1 species